rnacentral:lncRNA from 1 species
CCAUUCCUAGUCAGCCCAGAGCAGCAAUGAAAGGAAAUUUAGAUAAGAGUGUUAAGAUCACAGGGAGAAAGAAGCCUUGGAAGGGCCCCUCACUUGACUUUGGCGGCUUCUGGAAGAUGCUGUAGCUCUGAGGGCAUGUUCAGGAUGUCCGGGAAGUGCUUCUCCAGGAUCAUGAUCAGGUAAUGGAGCAGAGAGAUAUUUCUGUGGAUAAAAGAUCAGGGGUAAAGGAAUGAGCGCCAGGAAGAAACUAGAUGGGGCCGGGGGUGGGGGGGGGUGUGGCUGGGAGGUCAGGGACAAAAGGCAAGAAAUUUGGGUUGGAAAUGGGAGGAGGAGGUGGAGAAAGGCCAAAGUGGUGAGAUGGAAGAUAAGGAAGCAGAUAGAGUCCCACCUGUCAAUGCUGGACUUGGUGUCUGCAAUCUUGUUGAGGCUGGCCACCCGGAACCCAUAGGCACCCCCACGCUGCCCUUUGUUCAUGAAGUUGCCAAUGGCCAGGACGACCUCUAGCAUCCGCAUUAGACGCUUGCUGCGGAUCAGCUCCCGGGAGGCCAGCAGGAUGGCUGGGGGAGGAGGGACAGGUCAGAGUCCUGCAGAGACUGGGCAGCCCCCUUGAACCACGGGAUGAUGCCACCACAAAGUCCAGUCUUCAACUCUCAGAGGGGCAGAGGCUAUACCCAUACCACAACAGAUUGAUCUACUCCCCACCUGCCCACUUCCAAGGGAAGCAGGUAAAUUUGCCAAAAGCGACUUCAACAAAUAGCCCAUUCUCAGAAUGUGCUAACUCUUAAUAUAUUUAAGACUAUCUUUUCUUGUAUAUGUUUAAAGAUUAGUAAUAUAUUCUUUCUAUGGUUACACACAAGAAUAUAAUACUUUUACUUUUUUAAACUUAGUGAUUAAACUUUUAAAUUUCAGCAUUUUACAUAUUAUGGGACUGUUUCUGCCGCUUUUGAAAUGCUGGAGGUUUUUUAGGGUUGGGGGGAUCCCUGUCAAAUUAUAACAUGUCACCAAUAAUAUUCCCAUAUUUUUGUUCUAUAUGCUUUGUAGUUGGUGGUGUCUUUGAUUUAAUACUUUACUUAACAUCUUGUUGAAUAUCAUUUGAAAUUUUUUCCAACUUUUAGGCAUUUUAACAAUUUCUCCCCAAUUCCUUAAAAGAUACGUUUCCUAGAAAUACAAACUAAGGUUAACAGUAACCAAAACUUCAGUAUUUCAUUCCAAUGUGGAUGCUCUAGCCCACCCUCAGCUAUUAUGCACUUAUGGCAGAUGUGCAAAACUGGGAUACGAAUCCUACACUGAAAUGUUGGCUACUAGUUACGGAAUAUGCUUUUUGAUUAUUAAGUGUGGUGAUAGGAACACCAAACCAUCACAUGAUCUUCAGCUUAUGCCAAACUGAACAUUCCUAAAGAUGCUGCUAUGGAGAUAAAAUGAGAACCAUCUGACUAAAAGUCUGCAGAAAUCCUCAAAAGCAGUUAAAAAUAAGUAAUUGUAAAAAAGAAGCUGUGGAGAUUCCCCAGGACCUCCCAGCUUGUACCCACUUCAGCUUCCUUCCAGGACACUUUCUGUGUCCUGGACACCACCUGGGCCCGCUCCCGCUUCAGGCCUAGCCAUCCCACCAGGGCAACCCUAGUAUAGAGCACUCUGGGAUCCUCAGCCCAUAUCAGCCACAGCUCCAGCCAGCCAAAGUCACCAGACACGCAUAGCCUACACAAGGAAUGACCAUAAGACCAUUCCUUCAAGUUUAAGAGAAGUAUCUUUUCUGCCUAUUCAUAGAAAUAAAGACUGAAAGUCAAGCAAAAUGGGGAGACAGAGGAAUAUGCUCCAAACAAAACAAAACAACUCAGAAAAAGAACCAAAUGAAAUGGAGAUAAGCAAUAUGCCUGAUGAAGCGUUUAAGGUAAUGAUCAUAAAGUUGCUCACCAGACUGGAAUGAAGAGUGGAAGUACUCAGUAAGAACGUCAACAAAGAGAAAAUAUGAAAAAAAUCAGAGUUGAAGAAUAUAUCUACACUAGUGGGAAUAAACAUAUUAGCAGGUGAAGAGGAACAGAACAACAAUUUGGAAUACGGAGUAAUGGAAAACACCCAAGCUGAACAGCAAAAAGAAAAAGCUUUUAAAUGAGGGCAGGUUAAGGGAUCUUUUGCAUAGCAUAAAGUGAACAAAUGUUCAUAUAUAGGGGUCUCAGAAAAAGAAAAAAGGGGUGCACAAAACUUGAAGAAAUAAUAGUUGAAAACUUGCCUAAUCUGGAGAAGGAAACAGACAUCCAGGUUCAGGAAGCACAGAGAGUUCCAAAUAAGAUGAACCCAUGGAGGUCUACACCGUAACAUAUAAUAACUAAAAUGUCAAAAAUUAAAGAUAGAGAAUUUUAAAAGCACCAAGAAAGAAGGAAAAUUACAUACAUGGGAACCCCCUGCCAUAAGACUGUCAGAUGAUUUUUCAGCAGCAACUUUGCAGGCCAGAAGAGAAUGGCAGGAUAUAUUCAAAGUGCUGAAAGGAAAAAAAAUCUACAACUAAGAAUACUUUACCCAGCAAGACCAUCACUCAGGAUUGAGGGAGAGAUAAGAGUUUCCCAGGCAAACAAAAGGUAAAAGAGUUCAUCACCACUAAACCAUUCUUAGAAGAAAUGUUAAAGGGACUUCUUUAAGUAGAAAAGAAAAGGCUUUAAUUAGAAGUAAAAAAAAAAAAAUUAUGACUAAAAGAUGUAAAAUAUGACACUAUAUACAUAAAAUGUGGAGGGUGGAGCAAAAAAAGUUCUUUUAGAAUGUGUUCAAACUUAAGUGAACAUUAAUUUAAUAUAGAAAUCCAUAUACUUAGGAUGUUAUAUAUGAACCCCAUAGUAACUAUAAACCCAAAACCUUUAACAGAUACACAAAAAAUAAAGAUAAAGCCAAGCAUAACACUAAAGUCACUGAUCACAAGGAAUGAGAGCAAUAGAAGAAAGAAACAGAGAAGAACUACAAAAACAACCAGAAAACAAUGAACAAAAUGGCAAUAAGUACAUACCUAUCAACAAUUACUUUAAUUGCUAAUGGUCUAAAUGCUCCAAUCAAAAGACAUAGAGUGGCAUGAUGGAUUAAAAAGAAAGGCUCAUCUAUAUGCUACCUAUAAAAGAUUCACUUUUAGACCUUAAGACACGUACAGACUAAAAGUGAAAAGAUAAAAAAAAAAAAAAAAAAAAGAUAGUCCAUGCAAAUAGAAGGAAAAAAAACAGGGUAGCAAUACUUAGACGAAAUGACCUUAAAAAACAAAGACUGCAACAAGAGACAAAGGCAUUACAUAAUGAUAAAGGGAUCAAUCCAACAAGAUGAUAUAACAAUUGCAAAUAUCUAUGUACCCAACAUUGGAUCACCUAAACACACAUAGCAAAUAUCAACAGACAUAAGGGGGAGAAAUUGAUAGUAAUACAAUAAUAGCAAGGGACUUUAACAUCCCACUUACAUCAAUGAAUAGAUAAGUGAGGCAGAAAAUCAAUAAGGAAACCGUGUCUUUCAAUGAUACAUCAUAAAUAUUGACAGAUAUAUACAGAAUAUUCUAUCCAAAAACAACAGAAUACACUUUACAAGUGCACAUGAUACAGUGCAAAAGUCUCCAGGAUAGAACACAUGUUAGGCCACAAAACAGUCUCAAACUCAGGAAGACUGAAAUCAUACCAUGCAUCUUUUAUGAACACAAUGGUAUGAAACUAGAAAUCAAUCGCAAGGAAAAAAACUGGAAAAAACAUAAACAUGUGAAGGCCAACAACAUGUACCAAACAGCCAGUAGAUCAAUACGAAAUGAGAUGACAUUAAAAAAAUAGAAACAAGUGAAAAUGAAAACACAAUCAUCCAAAAUCUUUGGGACUCAGCAAAAGCAGUCCAAAGAGGGAAAUUUAUAGCAAUACAGGUCUACCUCAAGAAAUAAGAAAAAUCUCAAUCUAACAUUAUACCUAAAGAACUAGUGGGGAAAAAAAGCCAAAGGUGAAUAGAAGGAAGGAAUUGAAAGUCAAAGUAGAAAUAAAUGAAAUCGAGCCUAAAAGAAACAAUGGAAAAAAUCAAUGAAAUCAAGAGCUGGUUAUUUGAAAAGAUAGACAAUAAGCCUUUAGCCAUAUUCAUCAAGAAAAAAAAAAAGGAGGCAAAAGUGAAUAAAAUCAGAAAGGAAAGAGAAGAGACAACAGUCGCUACAGAAAUACAAAGGCAUAUGAGACUACUAUGAAAAACUAUGUGCCAACAAAAAUGGACAACCUAAAAUAAAUGGAUAAAUCCCUAGAAACAUACAAUCUUCCAAAAUUGAAUCAGAAAGAAAUAGAAAAUACAAACAGACCAACUACUACUAAUAAAACUGCAUAAAUAAUCCAAAAACUCCUCAACAAACAAAAGCCCAGGAGCAGAUAGAUUUACAGGUGAAUUCUACUAACCAUUUAAAAAAGGGUUAAUACCUAUUCUCAAGUUACUUCAUAAAGUAGAAUAGAGAGGAAAGCUUCCAAAUACAUUCUAUGAAGACAGAAUUAUUCUGAUACCAAAACCAAAGACACUACAGAAUAACCCAAAACCUACAGGCCAAUAUCCCUGAUGAACAUAGACGCAAAACUUCUCAACAAAAUAAUAGCAAACUGUGAUGAUUUUUUUAAUGUAUCAUUGAAUGCAAUCAAGUGGGAUUCAUUUCAGAGAUGCAAGGAUGGUUCAAUAUUUGCAAAUCAACAUGAUACCUCACAUCAGCAAGAGAAAGGAUAAAAAUCAUAGGACCAUUUCAAUACAUGCAGAAAAAGCAUUUGACAAAAUUCAACAUCUGUUCUUGAUAAAACUCUCAACCAAGUAGAUUUAGAGGGAACAUGCCUGAACACAAUAAAUAUCAUGAAAAACCCACAACUAUCAUCAUACUCAGUGGUGAAAAACAAAGUUUUUCCUUUAAGAUCAAGAACAGACAAGGAUGUCCACUCUCAAUACUUUUAUUCAACAUAGUAGUGGAAGUCCUAAUCACUGCAAUCAGACAAGAAAGAAGAGGUAACCAAAUUGAUAAGGAAGAAGUUAAACUGUCACUACUUGCAGAUGACAUGACACUAUACAGAGAAACCCUAAAGACUACAAUAAAAUUCUAUUAGAGUAAAUGAAUUCAGUAAAGGCUCAGGAUACAAAAUACACAGAAGUUGGUUGCUUUUCUAUACACUAACAAUGAAGCAGAAAGAAAAAUUAAGAAAAUAAUUCCAUUUAUAAUUGUACCAAAAAGAAUAAAAUACCGAGGAAUAAACUCUGAAAAUUAGAAAACACUGAUGAAAGAAAUUGAAAAUAAAAUCAAUGGGAAGAUAUUCCACACUCAAGGAUUAGAAGAAUUAAAAUUAUUAAAAUUUCCAUACUACCCAAAGCAAUAUACAGAUUGCCCCUAUGAAAAUACCAUCAGCAUUUUUCACAGAACUAGAAUGAAUAACCCUAAAAUUUGAAUGGAACCACAAAAGACCCCAAAUAGCCAAAACAAUCUUGAGAAGAACAUAGAUGGAAAUAUCAGAUACCCAGAUUUCAAAAUAUACUCUAAAACUGUAGUAAUCAAUGGUACCGGCACAUAGUUUAUAGAUGGCCAUUAUAGAUGGCCAUUAAUAGAUGACCAUUAUAUAGUCAAUUAAUCAAUGACAAAGGAGGCAAGAAUUUACAAUGGGGAGAAGAAAGUUUCUUCAAUAAAUGGUUCUGGAGAAGCUGGAUGACUUCCUUACACCAUACACAAAAAUAAACUCAAAAUGGAUUAAAGACCUAAAUAUGAGACCUGAAACCAUAAAACUCCUAGAAGAAAACAUGGGCAGUAAUCUCUUUGACACUGACCUUAGCAAUAUUUUUCUCUACAUAUGUCUCCUCGGGCCAGGGAAACAAAAGCAAAAAUAAACUACUGGGACAACACCAAAAUAAAAAGCUUUUGCACAGCAAAAGAAACCAAUAAAACAACUGGGCAACCUACUGAAUGGGAGAAGAUAUUUGCAAAUGAUCUGAUAAGGGGUUAAUAUCCAAAAUACAUAAAGAACUUAUAUAACUCAACACCAACAAAACCCAAACAAUCCAAUUUAAAAAUGGGCAGAGGAGCUGACUAGACAUUUUUCCAAAGAAGACAUACAGAUAGCCAACAGACACAUGAAAAACAUGCUUAACAUCAGUGAUCAUCAGGGAAAUGCAAAUCAAAACCACAGUGAGGGAUAACCUCACACCUCUCAGAGUGGCUAGAAUCAAAAACACAAGAGAUAGCAGUGUUGAUGAGGAACUGGAAAAAAAAAAAAGGGAACUCUUGUGCACUGUUGGUAGAAUGGAAAUUGCUGCAGCCACUGUGGAAAACAGUAUGGAGGUCCUUCAAAAACUAAAAAUAGAAACACCACAUGAUCCAAUAAUUCCACUGCUGUGUAUUUACCCAAAGAAAAUGAAACAUGAAUUCAAAAAGAUAUCUGUGCCCCUAUGUUUACUGCAACAUUAUUUACAACAGCCAAGAUAUGGAAGUAACCUGUUUCUACUGAUGGAUGAAUGGAUAAAGAAGAUAUGGUUGUGCAAAAGCUUUUUAUUUUGGUGUAGUCGCAAGGUUUAUUUUUGCUUUUGAUCCCCUCGUCCAAGAAGAUCUAUGCAGAAAAAUGUUGCCAAGAUUGAUGUCAAAGACAUUACUGCCUAAGUUUUCUUCUAGGACUUUUAUGGUGUCAGGUUUCACAUUUAAGUCUUUAAUAUAUUUUGAGUUUAUUUUUGUGUAUGGUGUAAGAAAGUGGCUAAGUUUCAUUCUUUUGCAUGUAGCUGUCCAGUUUUUCCAGCACCAUUUGUUGAAGAGAUUAUCUUUUCUCCAUUGUAUAUUCUUGCCCCCCUUGUGUAGGUUAAUUGACCAUACAAGUAUAGAUUUAUUUCUGGGCUCUCUAUUCUGUUCCAUUGAUCUACGUGUCUGUUUAUGUGUCAGUACCAUACAACAAAGGAAAAAAAGAGACCAAAAAAAAAAAAAAACCCUCUUAAAUAUAAAGAACAAAAGGUGGGUGGGGGAACGGGUGAAAUAGGUGAAGGGGAUUAAUAGUAUACUUAUAAUGAGCAUUAUGAAUGUACAUAAUUAUAGAAUUAUUGAAUCCCUAUAUUGUACACCUAAAACUUAAUAUAAUACUGUAUGUUAAUUAUAUUGGAAUUUAAAAAAUAAAAAUAGGGGCGCCUGGGUGGCGCAGUCGGUUAAGCGUCCGACUUCAGCCAGGUCACGAUCUCGCGGUCCGUGAGUUCGAGCCCCGCGUCGGGCUCUGGGCUGAUGGCUCAGAGCCUGGAGCCUGUUUCCGAUUCUAUGUCUCCCUGUCUCUCUGCUCCUCCCCCGUUCAUGCUCUGUCUCUCUCUGUCCCAAAAAUAAAUAAACGUUGAAAAAAAAAAUUUUUUUUAAUUUAAAAAAAUAAAUAAAUAAAAAAUAAAAAUAUAUACAAUUGUGAAUCUUAAGUAUAUACACUUGUACACCUUAAAUAUACACAAUUUUUGUUAAUCAUACCUCAAUAAAGCUGGGGAAAAUUCUCAAAACACCAACAAAGAAAGAAGAUACACACGAUGGAAUAUUAUUCAGCCAUAAAAAAGAAUGAGAUCUUAGCGUUUGUGACAACAUGGAUGGACCUAAAGGUAUUAUGCUAAGUGAAAUAAGUUAGAGAAAGACAAAUACCAUGUAAUUUUACUUAUAUGUAGAAUCUAAAAAAUACACAAAAACCAGACACAGACCCAUAAAUACAGAGAACUGAUGGCUGCCAGAAGGGAGAAGGGUAGGGGGUUAGGCAAAGUGGGUGAAGGGAAAUGGUACACACAGGCUUCCUGUAAUGGAAUAAAUCGUGGAGAUAAAAUGUACAGCAUAGUGUAUAUAGCCAAUGGUAUAAUAGCAUUACACAGUGUAGCUACACUUGUCCAACCUCUAUUGUACAUCUGAAACUAAUGUAACGUGUGUCAACUAUACUUUAUGUGCACACACAUCAUGAAGUUAGCAACAAAAGUAUAAAUUGAAAAAAAAAGCUAUAAAAGUGAAUACUAAGGUUUGUCAGUAGCUUCUAGCUUUGAACAUGUUCAUAUUCUAUGACCUAAUAGCAGCAUUACUCUUGAUGGGUAUUAGAGUGGUUUCUAGUUGUUGUUUUUUUUUUAAUUCUUAACAAAUAGACUGGUUAAACAAAUUAUGAUAUUCAUACAAUGGAAUAAAAUGCAGCACUGAAAAUGAAUAACUCACUGCUACAUGUAACAACAGAGUAACUUACAACCACAGUGCUGAGCAAAAGAGACCAGCAUAAAAUUAUUCACAUUAUAUUAUACCAUCCACCUAAAGUUAAGAAAGAUAAAACCUUUAGAGAAGACAGUGUAAUGGUUGCAGGGGGUAAUGUUUGGGAGGGCGACAUGAGGCAGGGCUGUUUGGGGCUGGCAACAUUCCAUUUCUCAACACGGAUGUUGAUUUCACAGGUUACUUCAUUUUAUGAUAAUUCAUCAAGUCAGACUCUUUUGAUUUGUGUACUUUUCUGUAUCCAUAUUUGAAUAAAAAGUUUACUUUAAAAAACUACUUAUAAAAGUUUUUAGCAAUUUAUAUUGGUUGGGAUAGUUUUCCUAGGGCUGAUACACUAUUUGAGAAAUUUGCAAAGGAAUUCUAAAAAUGCUAAAAUGUUGGCAAAACAGAAAUUGACAAGAGUUCAAAGAAAAUCAGUGUAAAUGAGGAAACAUCCAUUGCAAUGCAGACAUUUUAGAUAUAUUCAUAAGAAUAAUAUAUUCGUGACUAUAUUCAUAAGAAUGUUUACAUUUGAAACCAUAUUCAUCUUGACUAUAUUCAGUAAAUGUAUUCAAAAUGAGAAUCGGUAACUUUGGUAUAUUCAGCAAUGAACAUAUUCAUAAGAAUACAUUCAAGAAAAGUAUGUUUCAUGAAUAUAUUCAUAGAAGAAUUGGUAAAUCUGUCAAAUUUGGUGAAUUGGCUUUUGGCAAAUUGACCCAGAGGCCUUGUUGGGAAGUGGUGGGUAGGGUGUCAAUAGCUCAUCACCAGCUGGGAUUGGCCAAAUCUUAGCUUUUCCAGGAAUACUUCCUAGAACUGGAAGGAAAAAUAUGAAUCCCAACUCCUGCACAAUCCUCUUGUCUCCAUUCCUAGUGAAGCCACUGACCUGAUUCUGUAAGCUACAACUUCAGCCACCUCUUCCCAACUCUCAGGGAAGAGACCUCCAGACCAUUCUAGAAUAGCAGCCAUUGCUAUCGCAGAGCGAUUAUUACCUUUGCCAGCAGGUUUUGCCAUCCAAAACAUGUCUUACUCAGCUUGGCUUAAUAUUAAAGGGAGACUCUCCUGAGCAUUCAAUGACUAACUCUUAGGAGUGGGCUCUGAGAUUAUCUGAGAUUAACCCUACCCAGUGGCUAAAUAACUCUGGUUCCACAAGUCCAAACGGUAAUUGCUCACAUUUGCUCCACUGACCCAAGACACACAAAUGGUUGAGCAUAGGUCUUGGACUGAUUCCCUUAUCUGUGCCUCAUGCCCCAAAGGCAGUCUGCAGCAGGACAAAGAAGGCAGUCUGAAGGUAAGGAUUUACUCAUCACCAGGGCAGGAGGGACUGCCAGACCUUAGACCUACAGAAUCACUGCUGAUCUCAAUCCUUCUCCCUCAGAAUGAUUAUUUAUGAUUACAGCCAGCCUGCAGUUCCCUUGUGUGUGUGAAUGCACACGUGUGUGUGUGUGUGUGUGUGUGUGUGUGUGUGUGUAUGGUAGGGGGCAGAUUGCAGAAGGUCUAUGCCUCUAGCUCUGUCACACCCACCUACCCUCACCCCCAAACAUCCCUGACGCAGCUCCAGGAAAGGCCAUUCUCUGGACUCGGCAUCAUCAGGGGAAUGCUUGCCAGCCUUGGUGUCCAGCAGAGGGGGCCCAUGCUCUCUCUGCUCUGCCCCAGCCUGCCCCCCCCCCCCUCAGCAUCCUGGACUCAGGCUCUCCUGUUCCACUCUGCUGUCCUGUCCUUCCCCCAGGUAGGCCUCACAGCCUCACCUGCUUCUCCACUGGUGGGUCUGCAUGGGCCAUCCUGACUUUUUUCCCCAAACUCUCUGCCCCUCCCCGUCCCCCCUCCUUCCCGCCACAAUCCUCUGCCAUUGUCUGUGAAGUACUACCCAACAAGAGUGAAGAUGAAUUCUGAAGAACAUCUGUGUUCCAAUCCUGGCUCCACCACUCACUGGUAACAUGGCCUCAGACAGCAUGUCCCCAUUUUAGACAUGAGAGAAUGGAUGUACCCAUAGUGAUUGUGAGGACCAAUGAAGCCAUCCACAAGGAAUGUUUCAUGCAAUGCAUGCUACAUGGUUCCCAUUGAAUUACAAAGUGCCCAUCUGGAAAAAGCCUGUGUAGGGGGGAUUCCCUAACCUAGAAAACCUAGAUGCCUCCAAGGGUUACCCAACCAGUUUCCUACUUUUCUGAACAGGGCACGCUUAAAAUAAUGUGCCAGAGGUCUUCUAUGAACCUAGUAGCUCUCGAGGAGGGUAAAGACUGAUGAGCUCAAUACAUGCCAGGCCCUGUUCUAGGUGCUUGCUAUUAUCAUUGGUCAGCAUUUCUGGCCCAGCUGGCGCAGAUAUCAACAGAUCCCUCACCUUGGAGAGUUUGCAGGCUGAGGCACAGGAAAUGUGUCGCAUGUCUGGCACAUGUGCUGAUAUAAACAAGCGCAUAUAUUUACAGUAACCGUAGUUUUAAAUUUUGUCCUUGGCUUUGGGUUUUUUUGGUGGGGGGAAGGGGCAGAUUGAAAAUGAGAAAGUUUUCCUCAGUCCCAGUUCACGGAUUCCUGCCCAUUGGCCCUCCCAGAUGCCUCUCCACUCUAGGCCUCCCCAUGCCCUCAAACAUACCUUCCACUUUGGGUUUGGCCUCAGCCAGACGCUCCUGGAACUUCUUUUUGAAGAACAGGGCCUGUAGUCGCUGCUGGUAGUGGUCGAUCCUGUGGAUGGGGCGAGCCACAUCAUGAGGCAGCCCCUCCAGCUCCAGGAGCCAGAUCCAGACCCUCUUUUGCCUGUGCACCCCCAGCACCCCCCCUCCAUGCCCACUGCCCUGACCUGCUCAUUUCAUAGAGGAAGCGGUCAGCCCGGGCCAUCCGCUCGAUCUCAUGCUUGUGCUCCUCGAGGAGGUCAAUGUCGCUCUUCUCUGGGAUGAACUUGAGGAGCUGCAAAGAGCAGAUGGAGGUCACACAGGAAACUGCUGAGAAACUAAUAUGAGGGUGCUAUGCGUGGAUGCCCAUACACUGCCCAGGCUCAAGAUGGGGAGGGGUCCUUAAAAGAGAGAGGCAUCUUCAUAUGGUAGGUUUACGCUUCAUCUGCCCAAAGGGGACCACAGGACACCCAGCUCUAGACUUUUCUUUUUUCACUUUUUAAAACUGAGAUGUAAUUUAUAUAAAGUACACUAUUCUUAAGUACACAGCUCAAUGAUUUUUUUCUUUUAAACCCAAGUUUAUUGAGGUAUAAUUUACAUAAAAUGCAUCUAUCUUAAAUGUUCAGUUCAAUGAAUUUUGACAAAACCACCCACUGAACUGCCAUCUAGAUUAAGAUACAGAAGAUUUCCAUCCCCCAGAAAGUUCUUUCGUAUCACUUCAGUAAGCCACACCUCCACCUUAUAGCCUCUCAACUGAAUUCUAUCACCUUAGAUUACAUUUACCUAGUCUUGAACUUCGUAUAAAUGGACUCAUGCUAUGUGUUUUCUUUGGUGUCUGGCUUCAUUUGCAUAACAUAAUGUCUGAGACUCAUCCAUGCUGUAAGUAUUGGUAGUUUGCUUUUUAUACGUGUUGGACAGUAUUCUAUUGUAGGAAUAUACCACAGUAUAUUUAUGCAAUUUCUCAUUGAUGGACAGUUGGAUUGUAGACAGCUUGGGGGUUUCAUGAAUAAAAGUGUUAUAAAUAUUCUUGCGUCUAUCUCGUAGAGUCAACGUUUGCACUCAUUUCUCUGCAUCUAGCCACAGGAUUGCUGGGCAGUAGGAUAGAUUUAGCCUUUGCAUGGACUGCCAAAUUGUUCCCCAAAUUAUUGUAGCCAGUGGGAAUCCCAGUCGCUUCACAUCCUUGUCAACAUUUGGCAUUGUCAGUAUCUUUUCAAUUUUAGCUAUUCCAGUAGGGGGGUGUGGUGCUGCCUCACUGUGGUUUACUGUGUUUCUUGGAUGCCUACAACUGUUGAGCCACUCGGAAAUUCUCUUUCAUUGAAGUACCUGUUCAAGUCUUCUGCUCAUUUUCAAGUGGAGCUGUUUGUUAUUUUCUCACUGAUCGGUAGAGUUCUUUAUUCUGAAUAUGAGAUCUUUGCUAGAUGUCCAUAAAGCAAAUGUCUUCUAAGGUCUGGCUUGUCUUUUCCCUCUAGCAAUGGUGCCUUUUGAUGAACAGAGUUCUUCAUUCUAAUGAGGUCCAACUGAUGGUGGUUUUGUUUGGUGCUUUCUAGGUUUCUUUUGAAGGACCCAAUAAAUUGAGGUAGAAGAGAUUUGGGGAAAAUAUGACUAUAGGUCACUCUGACUUUGUCUUGGGCCCAGGGGGGAUCAUACCUCAU